UAGGGAAUAUUGCUUAAUGGGCGAAAGCCUGAAGCAGCAACGCCGCGUGAACGAAGAAGGCCUUCGGGUCGUAAAGUUCUUUUACGUGGAAUGAGGAAGGACAGUACCACGAGAAUAAGUCUCGGCUAACUACGUGCCAGCAGCCGCGGUAAAACGUAGGAGACGAGCGUUAUCCGGAUUUACUGGGCGUAAAGAGCGUGUAGGAGGCGCUACAAGUUGGAUGUAAAAGCUCCCGGCUUAACUGGGAGAGGUCGUUCAAGACUGUAGAGCUAGAGUAAGGCAGAGGUAGAUGGAACUCAGGGAGUAGUGGUGAAAUGCGUAGAUAUCCGGAAGAACACCAGAGGCGAAAGCGGCCUCCUGGACCACUCCUGACACUCAGACGCGAAAGCUAGGGUAGCAAACG
rnacentral:rRNA from 1 species